CCCUUGAAGUAGCACCUGACGUCUCUUUUUUCCCUUAUCUCUUCCCCCCGCCUCUGCCCCGGGUGCUUUUGUUUCUCUUUCCUUCUCGCCUCCCUUUCCACUCGCCAAUCAUGCUGCAGUCAUCACCGACCAGGCCCCUGGAACCCAAGGCUAAGAGAGGUUGCUGGUUGCUAACACCUGUCUCCCAGCUAAAUGAAUAGGCUCUUUUGUGAGCUAGAUGUUAAAAAAGCUGAUUAGUACAAUACUGGCUUAAAGGACCUAUUAAUGGUACAACAUAUGGAAAUCACGGAGAGAUUAAAGCCGUUGUAGAGAUUUGUUUCUCAUACUCUACUUUAAAUUUUUUUUUUUUUUUAAUUCUGAAUUAGGGAUGCUGGCUGAAUUUUCCCUUGUAAACCGUGACUCUGUUUAUUGCCCAGACUAAUUUUUGUCAUAUCGAUUGGGAAUCAUUUAUAUUCUAAAGAAGUUUCUACCCUUAAGGGCCUUUGUAUUCUUCGGCAAAUGUCAAACUAGUGUGUAAUAGAAUUAAAGUUUUGUUCACUGUGCUGCUGACAUAAUUAGUUUAAUUUCUGCUCCUUAUAUGCUUCUCUUGGCAGCCAGGAAAUUAAAAUACUAGAUUUUGUAUAACACUGCUUUUUUGAGGGGGUGAUUUUCCGUCAGCUGAAUGGACUUAGGCCCCAGGGUACAUUUUUUUUGAAGAUGUCUUACUCAACUUUCCUGUAAUAGUCUCUUUCUCUCGACAGAAUUAAUGUAUUAAGACACAUAAUUGGCUACUUAAGCAUUCAGAAGAGACAAUAUUUGGCCUUUACCCCGUGAUUAUAUUUUUUCCUAUAUCUCUUUUGAGGAAAUGUAUGUAAUUUUUGGAAACCCCUAAGCAUAUUACAGUUACACGAGCAUGUGAACUUUUGCAAAGACUAGAGAAUGGAGUGGUUUUCUCUGAUAAGCCAUAGGAUUUAAUUCUCUCCCCAAAUCAUUGCUCUGUUCCUUUUAGAUCAUAGCGUUUGCAGACCUGAUGUGAAAGUAGAAAGGCUGUGAUGCCUUGGCAAAUCCUCUUCACAGGUUUUCUGUGAUACGAAAGAAAUGGCUCUAGUCUACAGGGACAGAAGUCGCUCUCAAGGAGACUUUACAUUUAAUUAUCCUAAUCCACACUUAAUUUCCUACAGGAUUCUUGGAGAGAUUUUUUACCACGCUCCUGAUUUCAUGGAGUUAUGACCUAUGAAGUUUUUUUUUUUUUAAAUCUUGGUUAAAGCUGCUAACUUUUUUUUUUUUUUUUUUUUUUUUAAUGGAAAGUGACCUUGGUCUGGUAAUUUCUCCAUUGUCCUCUCUUAUAAAAAGAGAAGCAAAACCUUCUUGCUCUCUCAGCAGCCUUUUUCAGUGUCUAUCCCCCAUGUGCUGGAUUCGAACUUUACAAAAGUUGUGUUGAGCUAGUGUUACUUGACUUUUGAAAGCUGCCCCCUCUGAUGCUACAGGUUAAGCCUGCACCUCCUGGUUUAACAUUCAAAUGCCUUUUCUGGAAGUGCAUACCUGUGGUUGUGGAGUGGUCGGUUCUCCCUGGGGCAGCCCUUUCUAAGGGUAGGGGAAAGCUCACCCCUGUUUGAACUACUUGGAGCCAGUUCUGAUUUGCUGAAACAUUUUAACUGUCUUGAUCCGCUUUGAAGAAAUGUUGCCUAGUCAUCCUGAAACUUAACAGGAAGUUAGGCCCACUGGAGGCUCUGUUGGCCUCUGAGUGGUUAAAUGUAAUUUGCCAGUAAUCAGUACCAUUGUUUAUUUGCAACUGCUGGAUUAUGUUAAAGGACUUGGGGAGAAAAAAGCAUUUCUUAAGCAAAUGGAGCAGCCUCUUCUUGUUUUUCCCUUUUCAUUUACUUUGAAAAAUUGGUCUAGUCUUAGUCCUGAUCACAUGUCUACAGACUUAAUGGCACACGAUUCACUGCAUUUUAUGAUAUAGGAAGGCCUGUUGUCCCUCCAGCUAUUUCUGUGAAUCUUCCCUUUAAAAAAAAAACAACAAAAACAAAACUUUCAUAGUGAUUAAGAUGUCUACUUGAGAAAUAACCAAGCUUCAUCCUCAGAUGAUUUCCAACCUUCUCCUAGGUCUUGAGUCAGUGGGUCCAUAGCCAAUGAAUUAAACCCCCUUUUGACCAUGCUAAAUUAUUAUUUUUUUUUAAUGUCAGUGGUUUUUAGUAAUUAUUAGUAGAAUUAAUAAACAUGGCUUGGGAGUUCCGGUUGUGGCUCAGUGGAAACGAAUCUGACUAGCAUCCAUGAGGACUCAGGUUCAAUCCCUGGCCUGGCACAGUGGGUUGGGGAUGCAGUGGUCUGUGGUGUAGGUCGUGGAUGCGGCUCAGAUCCCACAGCAUUGUGACUGUGGUGUAGGCCAGCAGCUACAGCUCCAGUUCAACCCCUAGCCUGGGAACCUCCAUGUGCCUCAAGUGUGGCCCUAAAAAGACCAAAAUAAGUAAAUAAAUAAACAUGGCUUUUUAAUUUUACUUUUUAUUUUAUUUUUUUAUCUUUUUGGCUGCGUCUCAGGCACAUGGAAGUGCCCAGACCAGGGGUCAUACUCCAGUCACAGCAGUGACAGCUCCAAGCCCUUAACCACUGAGCCAUCAGGGAACUCCUGACCAUGCAAAAUUAUUAUCUUGCCUAGUGUGAAAGAAGAUCCACCGGAGCAUGAGUCUUUAUUCUAAAAUGCUGGACAAAAGGAGUGUUCUGACUUGGGGGAAGCGGGAGGAGUGUUUCCCAGGGCUUUAGAGGAAUGAGUCAGCUGAAGUACAGCUACUUUGAGGAAACCUUAGUCAAGGAUGUUUAUCAGGAUUGAUUUUGCAGGCCAGCAGCCCAAUUGUUUGGGCAAUUUGGAUUUUAUGGAGGUGAAGAGGAACGGUUAGGGAUUAAAAUGUGGGGCAAGGGGUGUGGGGUAAGAAGGAAUAACUGCAGGAGUUCCCGUCAUGGCUCAGCAAAACAAUGACUAGCAUCCAUGAGGAUGGUGAUUUGAUCCCUGACCUCGCUCAGUGGGUUAAGGAUCUGGCGUUGCCAUGAGCUGUGGUGUAUGUCGCAGACAUGGCUUGGAUCCCAUGUUGCUGUGGCUCCGAUUUGAUCCCUAGCCUGGGAACCUCCAUUUGCUGUGGUGUGGCCCUAAAAAAAAGACAAAAAAAAAAAAGGAGUAACUGCAGGGACGGGGCCAGGACUUGCCCAGCCCACUUUGGAAAAUUCUUAGGCCUUCAGGUUCUCUCACUUUUGUCCACCUCUCUUUCUACCUUUUGGGCGUGACUAGAUUCAGAUACCCUCCUCUAUCGUUUGAUCAUAUCCUGAUGGAAGAAACUGCAUAACCAUUCUGUGUCAGAGCCGAAGGUGACCUUAGUCAGGGUUUGCUGUAGGUCAGAUGGGGAGAGGGGCGCCCAGAUGUUCCCGGAGAGCUGGACAAGGGGCCCUCCGCCUUCCCUUCCACCCUCCCCACGUGGUUGGACCCAGCACUCCAGGUGACUCUGAGUCAUCGCCCGCACGCCCAUUGCUCUAGCUCAGUGUUUCCCAACUGUCUGGACUGUUGACACAGUUGGUGACCAGCCCUUAAGGAAUCCUGAUGGCGAGCCAGCAAUCCCUAAAUUGUGCUUAUUUGAUGAAAAUUUUUAUUUUAUUUAUUUAUUUUUGUCUUUUUGCCUUUUCUAGGGCUGCUCCAAUGGCAUAUGGAGGUUCCCAGGCCAGGGGUCUAAUCGGAGCUGCAGCUGCCAGCCUACACCAGAGCCAUAGCAAGGCGGGAUCUGAGCUGCAUCUGCAACCUACACCACAGCUCACGGCAACUGAGGCCAGGGAUCGAACCUGCAACCUCAUGGUAAUUAAAAAUUUUAAUACAGCUUAUUGGAGUUCCCUUUGUGGCUAAGCGAUAAUGAACCCAACUAGUAUCCAUGAGGAUGUGGCUUCAGUCCCUGGCCUCCCUUAGUCGGUUAAGGAUCCAGCAUUGCUGUGGCUGUGGUGUAGGUCUAGCAGCUGCAGCUCCGAUUAAGCCCCUAGCCUCGGAACUUCCAUAUGCCACACA
rnacentral:lncRNA from 1 species